CCUGGUUCCAGUCUCGGUGCUCUGGUUUCUGUUCCUAUGCUCCUAUCCUGAUCUGAGUCUCCGGAGACAUGACAGCCCUACGAAGCAGUGGGUGGGCUGCUGCAGUUCAGGCAUGCACAUGUGCAGAGGCCGCAGGCCCGGAUCCUGGAAGGGAAGCCGGACUACUCUCUCUAAAGAUGGC